rnacentral:rRNA from 1 species
UACGUAGGGGGCUAGCGUUGUCCGGAAUCAUUGGGCGUAAAGCGCGUGUAGGCGGCCCGGUAAGUCCGCUGUGAAAGUCGGGGGCUCAACCCUCGGAUGCCGGUGGAUACUGUCGGGCUCGAGUACGGAAGAGGCGAGUGGAAUUCCUGGUGUAGCGGUGAAAUGCGCAGAUAUCAGGAGGAACACCAAUUGCGAAGGCAGCUCGCCGGGACGUUACUGACGCUGAAGCGCGAAAGCCAGGGGAGCGAACGGG